GCCGCAUUAGCACAAUGGUAGUGCGUUGCUUUCCUAUCGUCUUUGAAAAAGCUUCGGAGGCAAAGGUUGCGGGUUCGAGUCCCGUGUGUGGUU